AUUGAACGCUGGCGGCAGGCCUAACACAUGCAAGUCGAACGGUAACAGGGAUCAGCUUGCUGAUUCGCUGACGAGUGGCGGACGGGUGAGUAAUGUCUGGGAAACUGCCUGAUGGAGGGGGAUAACUACUGGAAACGGUAGCUAAUACCGCAUAACGUCGCAAGACCAAAGAGGGGGAACUUCGGGCCUCUUGCCAUCGGAUGUGCCCAGAUGGGAUUAGCUAGUAGGUGGGGUAACGGCUCACCUAGGCGACGAUCCCUAGCUGGUCUGAGAGGAUGACCAGCCACACUGGAACUGAGACACGGUCCAGACUCCUACGGGAGGCAGCAGUGGGGAAUAUUGCACAAUGGGCGCAAGCCUGAUGCAGCCAUGCCGCGUGUAUGAAGAAGGCCUUCGGGUUGUAAAGUACUUUCAGCGGGGAGGAAGGGAGUAAAGUUAAUACCUUUGCUUAUUGACGUUACCCGCAGAAGAAGCACCGGCUAACUCCGUG
rnacentral:rRNA from 1 species